GUGCUCGCUUCAGCAGCACAUAUCCUGAAAUUGGAGCAAUACAGAGAAGAUUAGCAUAGCCCCUGUGCAAGGACAACACGCAAAUUCAUGAGGCAUUCCAUAUUAAA
rnacentral:snRNA from 1 species